rnacentral:rRNA from 1 species
CCUACGGGAGGCUGCAGUGGGGAAUAUUGCACAAUGGGGGAAACCCUGAUGCAGCAACGCCGCGUGAAGGCAGACGGUUUUCGGAUUGUAAACUUCUAUCAAUAGGGAAGAAAGAAAUGACGGUACCUAAAUAAGAAGCCCCGCCUAACUACGUGCCAGCAGCCGCGGUAAUACGUAGGGGGCAAGCGUUAUCCGGAAUUACUGGGUGUAAAGGGAGAGGAGGCGGAAAGGUAAGCGAUAUGUGAAAUCCUUAAGCUUAAAUUAAGGAUGGCAUAACGAACUAUCUAGCUAGAGUACAGGAGAGGAAAGCGGAAUUCCUAGUGUAGCGGUGAAAUGCGUAGAUAUUAGGAAGAACACCAGUGGCGAAGGCGGCUGUCUGGACUGAAACUGACGCUGAGGCUCGAAAGCGUGGGGAGCGAACAGGAUUAGAUACCCCAGUAGUC